GCUGUCUGAGAAACUCAGAGCCGAGUUCCGGUCGGUGUUCUCCCUGCGAGUCUUGUGCUAGCGCCCUGUAGACCCCUGUGAGGAUGGCUUGCGCAGCCGCGCGGUCCCCGGCGGACCAGGACAGGUUUAUUUGUAUCUAUCCUGCCUAUUUAAAUAAUAAGAAGACCAUCGCAGAAGGAAGGCGGGUCCCCAUCAGUAAGGCUGUUGAAAAUCCUACAGCCACAGAGAUUCAAGAUGUAUGCUCAGCAGUUGGACUUAAUGUAUUUCUUGAGAAAAAUAAAAUGUACUCUAGAGAAUGAAAUCGUGAUGUCCAAUACAGAGGCAGAGUCCGGGUUCAGCUUAAACAGGAAGAUGGCAGCCUCUGUCUUGUACAGUUUCCGUCACGUAAGUCAGUAAUGUUGUACGCAGCGGAAAUGAUACCUAAACUAAAAACAAGGACACAAAAAACAGGAGUUGGUGACCAAAGUCUUCAGCAAGGAGAGGGAAGUAAAAAGGGGAAAGGAAAGAAGAAGUGACCUAGUAUGAGCACCAUUUAUGUGAUAGUACUCCAAGAGACAUGAAUGGAGGCUUCUAAUUUGUAUCUGAGAGAAACAGAAGCUCUUUGCAUUAUUUUACUGAACUAUGCAUACUUAUGCCUCCCAUCAUCAUCAGAGUUGACA